GUAAGGAUCUUUCGUUUAUUUUAGUCGCUCUAUCUCCGCUAGUUUGCAGACUAAGAAAAACCGAGUUUAAAGUUGACGAACUUCUAUACGAUCGUGCGAAGUUAAGAUUUGAAAGAACCACAUAUUCGUUGCUCUCCAGAUGGAGUUAGAACAAUUAUUAAAUAGGCGAAAAUUAACAGUUAAAAUUACGGACGAAUCGAGUCGCUAUGGUUUUCAUUCCUUGUUCGUCAGGAGCCUCGCUAAGGAAGCACGUCUUCGUCGGUGAAGCUUAUAGCAUGGUCGCGAAGAAGCUUAUUUUUCAAUUGGAAU